rnacentral:rRNA from 1 species
UUCCAUGCUAACAGCAGUUGGACAUGGGUCAGUCGAUCCUAAGAGAUAGGGAAGCUCCGUUUCAACGUGUGCGAUUUUUCGUGCCGCCUAUCGAAAGGGAAUCCGGUUAAUAUUCCGGAACCAGAGUGCAGAUUUUUGACGGCAACGUAAAUGAACUUGGAGACGCUGGCGAGGGCCCCGGGAAGAGUUUUCUUUUCUCCUUAACAGUCUGACCACCCUGGAAGCGGUUUGUCCGGAGAUAGGGUUCUAUGGCUGGUAGAGCUCGACACUUGCGUCGGGUCCGGUGCGUUCUUGACAGCCCUUGAAAAUCCAAGGGAACGAAUAAUUCUUGCAUCUGGUCGUACUCAUAACCGCAGCAGGUCCCCAAGGUGAACAGCCUCUAGUUGAUAGAACAAUGUAGAUAAGGGAAGUCGGCAAAUUAGAUCCGUAACUUCGGGAAAAGGAUUGGCUCUAAGGGUUGGGUGCGUCGGGCCUUGGCAGGAAGCUGCGAGGGCCACAGCUGGGACUGCCUGGAGGGCAACCUCUGGGCGGAUCUGGCCAGGACCUUGUAUUGCUGGCGGCCUUGGCUGUCUCUCGCAAGGGAGGCGUCCGGCGCACGCUUAACAACCAACUUAGAACUGGUACGGACAAGGGGAAUCUGACU